rnacentral:lncRNA from 1 species
AGCCUCCUGAUAAGGUUGGUUUUUUGAUGAUUUCAGCCUCCUAAUGAGGACAGCUUUUUGGUGUGCUCGGCUUUCUCAUAAGCUCUUUCGAUGAGCUCUAUUUUUUGAUGAUGUUGGCUUUCUGCUGAGGUCGGCCUUUUGUUCUGCUUGGUUCUUCAGGUGAAUCACUAUAUCUCUUCGGAUAAAUUUUCCAUACAGAUUGCUAAUAUAUAUUUAUCAAUGACUUCUACCUCGAAUCCUAUCAAAAAUUUUUAGGUGACCAUGGAUAG